GGGGAACAAGACAACAAUGAGGGGUUCCAUGGUCUCCUGCCCUGGCGUGGAGAUUGUGUCCUUAGGGGUCUGGAGAAGGAAAUUACUCUGACAUUUCAAUACUUGAUCCCAUUUCAAAGUUCUGUCUUUCAGGCAGCCCACCCCAAACUUGGGUCAGUCAGCACCCAUCUACCCCUCUGCUGAAGGCUCAGAUCCCAAUGUGGGUAAGAAAACUACUCUGACCCUCUGUGAUGGCAGAAAUGUGGGGCCUUGGACACCAGCUGUUCCCCAGGAGGUUUUCCCAGCUGCUGCCAAGGCCAACCCUGUGGUGGAGAAGCCCAGGAGUGGGGUGUUCCAACAAUGCAGAUUCCACAUAGGAUUGAGUCAAAGCAGGUCAAAGACAGAACAGUUGAAGCUAUUUGGGAAACAGUUGGAGUUUUGUAAUGUUCCUUUCGUGUUUCUGGAACCUGUGUCACUCCAUUUGAUUUCUCACAGAAAAUUUUAUCCCAAUGGGUGCACUAUGUUUGAAAGUUUCAUGUAUUGCCCUGUCAGACUU